rnacentral:rRNA from 1 species
UACGGAGGGUGCAAGCGUUAAUCGGAAUUACUGGGCGUAAAGCGCACGCAGGCGGUCUGUCAAGUCGGAUGUGAAAUCCCCGGGCUCAACCUGGGAACUGCAUUCGAAACUGGCAGGCUAGAGUCUUGUAGAGGGGGGUAGAAUUCCAGGUGUAGCGGUGAAAUGCGUAGAGAUCUGGAGGAAUACCGGUGGCGAAGGCGGCCCCCUGGACAAAGACUGACGCUCAGGUGCGAAAGCGUGGGGAGCAAACAGGAUUAGAUACCCUGGUAGUCCACGCCGUAAACGAUGUCUAUUUGAAGGUUGUUCCCUUGAGGAGUGGCUUUCGGAGCUAACGCGUUAAAUAGACCGCCUGGGGAGUACGGCCGCAAGGUUAAA